GGCGUGCGGUGGGAUUCAUAUUUCCCGGUCGCAUUCUCUUCCGGGCGUGAGUUUCCUGUCCAAGCUCACUCUACAACUCCAGCUCGGAGAGCGACGGAUGGCUGGCGAAACGCGGGGAUGCCUUCCGCCCCGCAGCGCCUAAAUGCGUGACCCUCCACCGAUCGGACGAGUGGUGCGUGUCGGACGUCGUCAGAGACCGCAGGCAUUAAGCGCAGCGCAAUAAGGCAGCAGCGACGAUGCCGAUCCCUGUGCGCUUAGAGCCGCUCUCAGCCCAGCAACUCAAGCGACUGGAGGAGCACAAAUACAGCGCGUCGGGGCGCUCCCUCUUCGAGCCGCCUUGCCAGAUAUACUGGAAUUGGCUUGUUCAGCAGAUCCCCACCUGGGUAGCUCCCAAUACACUGACCAUUACAGGACUUAUCAUCAACAUCGUCACGACGGUUAUUCUGGUCUUCUACUGCCCGUCUGCCACGGAGGAGGCGCCAUGCUGGGCCUUCAUCCUCAGCGCAUUUGGCCUCUUCAUCUACCAGUCUCUGGACGCCAUCGACGGGAAGCAGGCAAGGAGGACCAACAGCAGCUCGGCGCUCGGGGAGCUCUUUGACCAUGGCUGCGACGCCGUCUCCACAGUGUUCGUGUCCGUGGGAACGUGCAUAUCCUGUGGAAUGGGAGUGUAUCCAAACUGGAUGUUCUUCUGCGGCUUCGUGGGCAUGUUCAUGUUCUUCUGCGCGCACUGGCAGGCCUACGUCUCCGGGACGCUGCGAUUCGGCCUCGUGGAUGUGACGGAGGUGCAGGUGGCCAUCAUGGUGAUUUACCUGAUGUCAGCCUUCGGAGGAGUGGCUCUGUGGGACACAAGGCUGCCUGUCAUUGGGAUAAAGCUGCAGACCUUCCCCAUCCUGGGAAUCAUCGGCGGAGCCGUUUACUCCUGUUUCAACUACUUUGAAGUCAUUAUGAAUGGGGGGGUUGGCAAAAACGGCUCCACCGUGGCUGACACCAGCGUUCUUUCUCCAGGGCUCCACAUCGGCCUCAUCCUUACUCUGGCCUUUAUCAUCUUCAAGAAGUCAUCCAGUCAUUUGUUUGAGCUCCACCCCUGCCUGUAUAUAUUAGCCUUCGGCCUGGUCAGCGCCAAGAUCUCAAAUAAACUAGUGGUGGCCCACAUGACCAAGAGUGAGCUCCAUCUUCCAGAUACUGCGUUCGUAGGGCCUGGCCUCCUCUUCCUUAACCAGUACUUCAACAGCUUCGUCGACGAGUACAUCGUCCUCUGGAUCGCACUGGUCCUGUCUGUGUUAGACCUGACGCGGUACUGCACGGCGACGUGCCUCCAGAUCGCGGCCCACCUGCGGAUCCGGGUCUUCAGCAUUGUCCCACAGGUCCACGUCUCCCGUGACUGACUGCUUGCCCAGCAGGAGGAGACCGGGUCGGGGCAGAACAAAGGCACCGACCCGCCACUAAUGCCCGGGGAACCUCGCGACCUCCACAGCCAUAACCUGAUCAGCCUCGACUCUCCUGAGUCAGAUUCGUAUCCGAGCGACAACUAAACCAAAACGCGGAUUCUGACAGUGCUGGAUGUCGUUAUGGGAUUAUGGUUUGCCGUCAGAUUUCGUUUCUAUAAUAUUUCAAUUUAUACCUAGACUACUUUGUAAGCUAACUAAUUUAGAAACAAAACUUGUAGAUUAAUACUGAGACAUUCCCCAGAGCCUUUAUCUAGUAUAUUUCCUUGAUGGAAUACCAGCAUCCUCACUGCCUACUUGGGUAGGAGUUCAGAGACUCUGAUCCAGUUUAGAUAUGAGGGACACCUGUCCUGACAGGCAGAAGUCCCUGAGGACUGACACCACUGCGUUGUUUUGCAGCUGGAUGUCGAUAUUUUACUUGCCAUUUCCUGUCAUGAAAGGCUUGCAGUAUGUUGUGAGUAAGGCUUACUCAACACUGGAAGGCCUACGGUAUGCUAUGAGUAAGGCUUACUGUACACUAGAAGGCCUACUGUAUACUAGGUGUACAGUAUGCUAUGAGUAAGGCCUACUGUAUACUAGAUGGCUUACUGUAUGGUUUACUGUAAGGUUAUCUAAUGUAUUUUAAGUUUGCUUGAUUCAAGUUGAAAACUGAGCAACAGUAAGCAUUCCCGAAAUUCCUACCGUUUCUAUUCGGACAGAUCUAAGAGAAUGAAUGACAUCAUGCUUUGGCUGCUUUUAUAUGUAAAUCGCCCGCCCCCGAUGACAAUGACGUAAUGCUUAAUAAAAGUUUCAUAGUUAGGAGUGAAAGCGGGACGACAAGAGACUCGUCAGAUAUCGAAGUCGAAACUUUUGACAGUUGCGCCCUGCUGCCAGUUGCUGGAGUCUGGAUAUAGAAUGAGUUACAUUUUUAGAAUGCAGUGUUUCCAGUGAGCAUAGUGUAUAUUUACAGUGCUUUUAGGCAGAACUCUGUCAAAGGCAGCAGGCAGAGAAGUGACUCAGCGUUGGUUCUCAUAAGUGUGGCGAUACCCCCCCCGAAGCUGCAUACUCCACAGAAUACUCCAUUUUCUCCUCCCUGUCUAUUCUGUGAGCAGACAGCCAAGCCCUGCUCACAUCCCGCGUCAGCAUGAUGUGCCAAAACACCCGGGGGUGACGUAAACGACCCAAAACUUGUUCUACGGUCUCCUCCCUAAGGGCUAAGCACGCAAAAAACCAAUUUGGCAGUAAUGUUAUUCUCCAGCUGGGCGUGGGAUACAGCUGCUGCACAUGGACUCAUAUUUCUCAGCUGUUUUGAUGCCCGGAACCAAUAUUUUUUUCCAUCAAUAGCUCAUAAAUUAUGAGGAUGGAGUUUCCCUGGUGAUGGUGAGCCCUCAGAGCAGCAAGGAUUGAAGAGUUAUACACAUGGUGACCAUCUGCUGUUGCUGUGGAGGGGAAAGGCAGUGGGGAGGGGUGGCUCACGAGGGCCGGGGACGGGGGGGGAGGCACGCAGCAGUUACUGCGGACCUCACCUCUAAUCUCCUGGACCCCGCAGUCGCACCCUGGAAACGGACCGGGAGCCAGGCGGACCUGGCGCUCUUCCUUCUGCACAUCAUUCUUUUUUAAAAUGUUAUUUUUUUCCACAGAAAACCUUUUGUUGUGUGAUUUGUCGCUCAUGCCAUGUUUCGGUCCCAAAUCUCCAUUUUGAUUGGCCAUUAAGAAGGACUCGUUCCGUGUCACUUUCUCCAGAUCCUGUGCUCACAGACAAAUUGUGGCAUUUCUCUGGCCCUUACUGUGAGAUGGCAUUGGUGCUAAUACAUUUGUUACAGUGCAGAACUUAUUAAACAUGUUUUUUUUUUCUCCUUGAUCCCACCUAAAUACAUUUCUUUGCUGUCCUGAUCCCAUUUGGGGGGCCCACCUUCAUCAGUCACGUCCCCCUUUGUGUGGCUCAGCCUUGAUAAAAGCUGCAGAUGAAAAGCGGAUGACAGCUCAUCUCCCUCAUAAACCGUUUUGCUAUCUACACUGUACUUUCUGGAAUAUUCUGAUCAUAAUGUAUAUGGAAUUUCAUUCAAAGCUUGUGCAGAUUUUUAGUGUCACCGAACACUAAAUGUAUCUCACUUUUAUGCCAAAGCAACACUGAUCAAAUGUGUCGAAACUAGGUCCACAUUCGCCAAAUUUUGAUGGUUUUUAUAAUUUAAUAUAUUAAAAUUCACUGUAGACUC